rnacentral:rRNA from 1 species
GUCUUAUUGAUGAUAAUUUUAAGUCUGGUCUGCCCAGUGAUUUAUUAAAUGGCUGCAGUAUUUUAACUGUACAAAGGUAGCAUAAUAAUUAGUUUCUUAAUUAGGAACUGGAAUGAAAGAUUGAACGAGACAAUAACUGUCUUAAUAUAAAUUUAAGAAUUUUAUUUUUAAGUUAAAAAGCUUAAAUUUUUUUAAAAGACGAGAAGACCCUAUAGAAUUUUAUAUUAUUUUUAUAUUUAAAUUAUAGUAUAUAAAUUUUAAAUUUUUAUUAAGAUUAUUUAGUUGGGGUGAUUAAAAAAUUUAUUUAACUUUUUUUAUUUAUGACAUUAAUUUAUGCGUGAUUGAUCCAAUAUUUUUGAUUAUAAGAUUAAAUUACCUUAGGGAUAACAGCGUAAUUUUUUUAGAGAGUUCUUAUCGAUAAAAGAGAUUGCGACCUCGAUGUUGGAUUAAAGUUAAUUUUUAAUGUAGAAGUUAGAAUAUUAGGUCUGUUCGACCUUUGAAACUUUACAUGAUCUGAGUUUAAAUCGGCGUGAGCCAGGUUGGAUUCUAUCUUUAAAGAAUUUUAGUAUUUUAGUACGAAAGGACCGAAUAUUAUUUAUAUUAAAUUUUAUAGAAUAU